rnacentral:rRNA from 1 species
GACGAACGCUGGCGGCGUGCUUAACACAUGCAAGUCGAACGGAAAGGCCCCGUUUGUGGUGCUCGAGUGUCGAACGGGCGGGGAACACGGGAGUAACCUGCCCUUGACUUCGGGAUAACUUCAGGAACCGGGGGCGAAUACCGGAAAGGAAGCCUUGCUGCAUGGGGGAGGUUGGAAAGCUCCGGCGGUUUUGGAUGGACUCGCGGCUUAUCAGCGUGUUGGUGGGGUAGUGGCUUACCAAGGCCUUGACGGGUAGCCGGCCUGAGAGGGCGACCGGCCACAUUGGGACUGAGAUACGGCCCCGCCUCCUACCGGAGGCCGACGUGCGGACUCUUGCUCCAUGGGCGGGAGCCUGCUGCAGCAACGCCGCGUGCGGGAUGACCGCCUUCGGGUUGUACCCCGCUUUCCGCCGGGGCCAGGCUUGUCCUGACGGUACCUGCAGAAGAAGCACCGGCUAACUACGUG